UACCCUUGACAUGUCUGGAAUGCCGAAGAGAUUUGGCAGUGCUCGCAAGAGAACCGGAACACAGGUGCUGCAUGGCUGUCGUCAGCUCGUGUCGUGAGAUGUUGGGUUAAGUCCCGCAACGAGCGCAACCCUUGUCAUUAGUUGCUACGAAAGGGCACUCUAAUGAGACUGCCGGUGACAAACCGGAGGAAGGUGGGGAUGACGUCAAGUCCUCAUGGCCCUUAUGGGUAGGGCUUCACACGUCAUACAAUGGUCGGGACAGAGGGUCGCCAACCCGCAGGGGGAGCCAAUCCCAGAAACCCGAUCGUAGUCCGGAUCGCAGUCUGCAACUCGACUGCGUGAAGUCGGAAUCGCUAGUAAUCGCGGAUCAGCAUGUCGCGGUGAAUACGUUCCCGGGUCUUGUACACACCGCCCGUCACACCAUGGGAGUGGGUUCUACCAGAAGUAGUUAGCCUAACCGCAAGGAGGGCGAUUACCACGGUAGGAUUCAUGACUGGGGUGAAGUCGUAACAAGGUAGGCGUACUACA
rnacentral:rRNA from 1 species